rnacentral:miRNA from 1 species
UGAGGUAGUAGGUUGUAUAGUCC